rnacentral:rRNA from 1 species
AUUGAACGCUGGCGGCAUGCUUUACACAUACAAGUCGAACGGUAACAGGUCUUCGGAUGCUGACGAGUGGCGAACGGGUGAGUAAUGUAUCGGAACGUGCCCAGUAGUGGGGGAUAACGUACUCGAAAGAGUGGCUAAUACCGCAUGAGAACUGAGGUUGAAAGCGGGGGACCUUCGGGCCUCGCGCUACUGGAGCGGCCGAUAUCAGAUUAGGUAGUUGGUGGGGUAAAGGCCUACCAAGCCGACGAUCUGUAGCUGGUCUGGAGAGGACGACCAGCCACACUGGGACUGAGACACGGCCCAGACUCCUACGGGAGGCAGCAGUGGGAAUUUGGAACU